rnacentral:rRNA from 1 species
CAGCAGUGGGGAAUAUUGCACAAUGGGGGAAACCCUGAUGCAGCGACGCCGCGUGGAGGAAGAAGGUCUUCGGAUUGUAAACUCCUGUUGUUGAGGAAGAUAAUGACGGUACUCAACAAGGAAGUGACGGCUAACUACGUGCCAGCAGCCGCGGUAAAACGUAGGUCACAAGCGUUGUCCGGAAUUACUGGGUGUAAAGGGAGCGCAGGCGGGAAGACAAGUUGGAAGUGAAAUCUAUGGGCUCAACCCAUAAACUGCUUUCAAAACUGUUUUUCUUGAGUAGUGCAGAGGUAGGCGGAAUUCCCGGUGUAGCGGUGGAAUGCGUAGAUAUCGGGAGGAACACCAGUGGCGAAGGCGGCCUACUGGGCACCAACUGACGCUGAGGCUCGAAAGUGUGGGUAGCAAACAGGAUUAGAUACCCUGGUAGUCCACACCGUAAACGAUGAUUACUAGGUGUUGGAGGAUUGACCCCUUCAGUGCCGCAGUUAACACAAUAAGUAAUCCACCUGGGGAGUACGACCGCAAGGUUGAAACUCAAAGGAAUUGACGGGGGCCCGCACAAGCAGUGGAGUAUGUGGUUUAAUUCGACGCAACGCGAAGAACCUUACCAAGUCUUGACAUCCCUUGACGAACAUAGAAAUAUGUUUUCUCUUCGGAGCAAGGAGACAGGUGGUGCAUGGUUGUCGUCAGCUCGUGUCGUGAGAUGUUGGGUUAAGUCCCGCAACGAGCGCAACCCUUAUGGUCAGUUACUACGCAAGAGGACUCUGGCCAGACUGCCGUUGACAAAACGGAGGAAGGUGGGGAUGACGUCAAAUCAUCAUGCCCUUUAUGACUUGGGCUACACACGUACUACAAUGGCGUUAAACAAAGAGAAGCAAGACCGCGAGGUGGAGCAAAACUCAGAAACAACGUCCCAGUUCGGACUGCAGGCUGCAACUCGCCUGCACGAAGUCGGAAUUGCUAGUAAUCGUGGAUCAGCAUGCCACGGUGAAUACGUUCCCGGGCCUUGUACACACCGCCCGUCACACCAUGAGAGCCGGGGGGACCCGAAGUCGGUAGUCUAACCGCAAGGAGGACGCCGCCGAAGGUAAAACUGGUGAUUGGGGUGAAGUCGUAACAAGGUAGCCGUAGGAGAACCUGCGGCUG